rnacentral:rRNA from 1 species
GACGAACGCUGGCGGCGUGCUUAACACAUGCAAGUCGAACGGAAAGGCCCUGCUUUUGUGGGGUGCUCGAGUGGCGAACGGGUGAGUAACACGUGAGUAACCUGCCCUUGACUUUGGGAUAACUUCAGGAAACUGGGGCUAAUACCGGAUAGGAGCUCCUGCUGCAUGGUGGGGGUUGGAAAGUUUCGGCGGUUGGGGAUGGACUCGCGGCUUAUCAGCUUGUUGGUGGGGUAGUGGCUUACCAAGGCUUUGACGGGUAGCCGGCCUGAGAGGGUGACCGGCCACAUUGGGACUGAGAUACGGCCCAGACUCCUACGGGAGGCAGCAGUGGGGAAUAUUGCACAAUGGGCGGAAGCCUGAUGCAGCAACGCCGCGUGCGGGAUGACGGCCUUCGGGUUGUAAACCGCUUUCGCCUGUGACGAAGCGUGAGUGACGGUAAUGGGUAAAGAAGCACCGGCUAACUACGUGCCAGCAGCCGCGGUGAUACGUAGGGUGCGAGCGUUGUCCGGAUUUAUUGGGCGUAAAGGGCUCGUAGGUGGUUGAUCGCGUCGGAAGUGUAAUCUUGGGGCUUAACCCUGAGCGUGCUUUCGAUACGGGUUGACUUGAGGAAGGUAGGGGAGAAUGGAAUUCCUGGUGGAGCGGUGGAAUGCGCAGAUAUCAGGAGGAACACCAGUGGCGAAGGCGGUUCUCUGGGCCUUUCCUGACGCUGAGGAGCGAAAGCGUGGGGAGCGAACAGGCUUAGAUACCCUGGUAGUCCACGCUGUAAACGGUGGGUACUAGGUGUGGGGUCCAUUCCACGGGUUCCGUGCCGUAGCUAACGCUUUAAGUACCCCGCCUGGGGAGUACGGCCGCAAGGCUAAAACUCAAAGGAAUUGACGGGGCCCCGCACAAGCGGCGGAGCAUGCGGAUUAAUUCGAUGCAACGCGUAGAACCUUACCUGGGUUUGACAUGGAUCGGGAGUGCUCAGAGAUGGGUGUGCCUCUUUUGGGGUCGGUUCACAGGUGGUGCAUGGCUGUCGUCAGCUCGUGUCGUGAGAUGUUGGGUUAAGUCCCGCAACGAGCGCAACCCUUGUUCACUGUUGCCAGCACGUUAUGGUGGGGACUCAGUGGAGACCGCCGGGGUCAACUCGGAGGAGGGUGGGGAUGACGUCAAGUCAUCAUGCCCCUUAUGUCCAGGGCUUCACGCAUGCUACAAUGGCUGGUACAGAGAGUGGCGAGCCUGUGAGGGUGAGCGAAUCUCGGAAAGCCGGUCUCAGUUCGGAUUGGGGUCUGCAACUCGACCUCAUGAAGUCGGAGUCGCUAGUAAUCGCAGAUCAGCAACGCUGCGGUGAAUACGUUCCCGGG